AAUGCCCAAAUAACUCCCAUUUCUCCCAAAUCGUGGAACGGUGGAAGGCUGGAAGAAAACCCUUUUCCAAUUUAUUCAAUUCUUCCUUCCCCGCUCGCCCCUACCAGCAUGACGCUGCACACAAGUGACGAGACACGACGGUGUCGUAGACCGCCGGUUUCGUCCCUGCCCUGUAGGCUGCAGUGUGCUAACUGCUCAACACCAUGUUUAACAGUUUAAGGGUAUCAAUUUGGCGUGAAAUGAGAACAAAAUCGUAGAAUUCUUUGUCCACUUGGUGAGCAAGUUCUCUGGUUCACUGGUUGGAGACUUGGAGCCCAUAUUAAUGCUAAGGGAUUCCUUCCUCAAGUCAGUGAUUUAAGUUGAUUAGUUGAUGUUAAAUAUGUUGAGAUUUAUUCAUUUGGGAAUUAAAAAUUUGCAAAUUGUGAUUUAUGAAUUAUGAUAAGUAAUUUACGUUUUAUGAGUUAUGAUUAUUGAUUUGAGAAUUUAUGUUUACGAAAUUAUAUUUGCAUUCGUGAUCUAUGAUAAGUAAUUUAUAUUUUGAUGA